rnacentral:lncRNA from 1 species
AUCUUAGAGUAUUCUCCUUCCACCAUGGAAGGUUAGAGAUCCCUUGUUUUGCAUUCAUAUGCCUACAUGACUAGAUAGCUUGACCCCAACAAUGUCGUAGACACUCUCGAUGGAAUGCCUUUGACAUGAUCAAAGAUCAAGGACCUAACCAUUAGACAUCUAUGAUGCCUCAGGUCAAAGGACUACUUUGCAUAUUGCAACUAACGAGUUCUUACAUGACAUGUAUGUUCGAACUCUUUUUUUAUCGUUGUUUAGUGUACUCGAUUACUCUUUCGAGCACCUAUGUGUUUGUCUUAGUGUCCAACACUAAAUGACUUGAGACUAGUCAUACUCACGUUUGAGUCAACUUAACACAUACUAACCUUAGCGGAUUGUCAAUGCCCAAUUGGCAAUCCUAUGGCUAAGAACGUUUUAGGAAUGAAUAUAAAAGAAAUGUCUCGUUAAUCUAACUUACUUAAAUAACUUAUCUCUUAGAUCAAAUACAUUCCUUGGAUUCCCUUAUUGCUUAAACACAUGAUACAAUAAAUAGUGAUUAACAAUAAGCUUUGCCCUUUAUUAAACAUAUAAUAGUUUAAUACAAUAUGUAUUCCAAAAGCUAUUACAUCAAAUGAGUGGCUUUGUGGGCAUACUUUUAACAUGUGCGUCCGAAUAUGACAUUGUAUGCCGUUGGGCAAUCAACCACCAAGAAGUUAGUGGUAAUGGUAGCUGUGUAAGGGCCUAUACCAAUGGUGAAAGGUAAGUGUAUGCUCCCCAAAGGUUGCACGAUAUCACCGGAGAAUCUUAUCAAAGAGGAAAUCGAGCGAUCGAGCAAGUGUUCAGCUACAUUAAGUGCCCUGAAAACUUUAGCAAACAUGAUAUUGACCGAAGCCCUUGUGUCUACCAGGAUUCGUCGUACUUCAAAGUUGGUUAUGUGAGCUUCCACAAUCAGUGGGUCGUUGUGAAGGUAGAUGAUACCUCUUUCUUCCUCAGGGUAGAAACAUAUUGGAUCCUAGUUAGGCUUUUGAUACUUACCUCCCCUAAAGUCUUCCACGUGAAACACUGGGUGGCCAGACCUUAAAGCUCGUUCACUAUUUUUCAUAGCCCUGUUGGAAGAUUUAGAUAUGGGUGUGCCACCACUUAUGGAAUAUAUCACAUUCAC